UACGGAGGUCUCAAGCGUUGUUCGGAUUCAUUGGGCGUAAAGGGUGCGUAGGCGGCGCGGUAAGUCGGGGUGUGAAAUCUCGGAGCUUAACUCCGAAACUGCAUUCGAUACUACCGUGCUUGAGGACUGGAGAGGAGACUGGAAUUUACGGUGUAGCGGUGAAAUGCGUAGAUAUCGUAAGGAAGACCAGUGGCGAAGGCGGGUCUCUGGACAGUUCCUGACGCUGAGCACGAAGGCCAGGGGAGCAAACGGG
rnacentral:rRNA from 1 species